rnacentral:rRNA from 1 species
UACGGGGGGGGCAAGCGUUGUUCGGAAUUACUGGGCGUAAAGGGUCCGUAGGCGGUGCGGCAAGUCGGAAGUGAAAUCUCUGGGCUUAACCCAGAGGCUGCUUCCGAAACUGCCGUGCUAGAGGAUGAGAGAGGCAAGUGGAAUUGCGGGUGUAGCGGUGAAAUGCGUAGAUAUCCGUAGGAACAUCCGAGGCGAAAGCGGCUCGCUGGAUCACAACUGACGCUGAGGGACGAAAGCUAGGGGAGCAAACAGG